CAGCCGCCGCGGGAAAACGUAGGGUGCAAGCGUUAAUCGGAAUUACUGGGCGUAAAGCGUGCGCAGGCGGUUUGUUAAGACAGAUGUGAAAUCCCCGGGCUCAACCUGGGAACUGCAUUUGUGACUGGCAAGCUAGAGUGUGGCAGAGGGGGGUGGAAUUCCGCGUGUAGCAGUGAAAUGCGUAGAUAUGCGGAGGAACACCGAUGGCGAAGGCAGCCCCCUGGGCCAACACUGACGCUCAUGCACGAAAGCGUGGGGAGCAAACAGGACUAGAUACCCCUGUAGUCCCUGUCUCUUAUAC
rnacentral:rRNA from 1 species